AUUGAACGCUGGCGGCAGGCCUAACACAAGCAAGUCGAGCGGGGUUUUCGGACCUAGCGGCGGACGGGUGAGCAAUGCGUAGGAAGCUUCCCGAUAGAGGGGGAUACCAGUUGGAAACGACUGUUGAUACCGCAUAAUGUCUACGGACCAAAGUGUGGGACCGUCGGGCCACAUGCUAUCGGAUGCGCCUACGUGGAGAUUAGCUAGUUGGUGAGGUAAUGGCUCACCAAGGCGACGAUCCCUGGCUGGGUUGAGAGGAUGAUCAGCCACACUGGACCUGGGACACGGUCCAGACUCCUACGGGAGGCAGGAGUGGGGAAUAUUGGACAAGGGGCGCAAGCCUUAUGCAGCCAUGCCGUGUGUGUGAAGAAGGCCUUCGGGUUGUAAAGCACUUUCAGUAGGGAGGAAGCGUUGUGUGUUAAUAGUACACAGCGUUGACGUUACCUACAGAAGAAGCACCGGCUAACUCUGUGCCAGCCGCCGCGGUAACAC
rnacentral:rRNA from 1 species